UUUGAUAGCACACCCCGUGAGUCUUCUCUGAGCUCCGCAACCUGGAGAGGUGGCCUCGCCUCUGCCCCCACGCUGUCUCUUCUCCAGCACCUCCACCUGUCACUCUGUGUUAUAACUGAUGGACUUCUCUGAUGCCUUCGCUGCAUAGAAGCUUGAUGAGGUCAGAUCUGCACCUAUCUCCUACAGGAAGGGAGAGUUAAGGAGUCUGGGAUGGACGAGGACACACUGCUACAUUUAAAACGGAUAACCAACAAGGACCUACUCAAUAGCACAGGGAACUCUGCUCAGUGUUAUGUGGCAGCCUGGAUGGGAGGGGAAUUUGGAGGAGAGUGGAUACACGCAUAAGUAU